CCUGGCGGCAAUAGCGCGGUGGUCCCACCUGACCCCAUGCCGAACUCAGAAGUGAAACGCCGUAGCGCCGAUGGUAGUGUGGGGCCUCCCCAUGCGAGAGUAGGACACUGCCAGGC
rnacentral:rRNA from 4 species